rnacentral:rRNA from 1 species
CCUACGGGUGGCAGCAGUCGAGAAUCAUUCACAAUGGGGGAAACCCUGAUGGUGCGACGCCGCGUGGGGGAAUGAAGGUCUUCGGAUUGUAAACCCCUGUCAUGUGGGAGCAAAUUAAAAAGAUAGUACCACAAGAGGAAGAGACGGCUAACUCUGUGCCAGCAGCCGCGGUAAUACAGAGGUCUCAAGCGUUGUUCGGAAUCACUGGGCGUAAAGCGUGCGUAGGCUGUUUCGUAAGUCGUGUGAGAAAGGCGCGGGCUCAACCCGCGGACGGCACAUGAUACUGCGAGACUAGAGUAGUGGAGGGGGAACCGGAAUUCUCGGUGUAGCAGUGAAAUGCGUAGAUAUCGAGAGGAACACUCGUGGCGAAGGCGGGUUCCUGGACAUUAACUGACGCUGAGGCACGAAGGCCAGGGGAGCGAAAGGGAUUAGAUACCCCUGUAGUC